AACAACCACUAAUCAUGGAUGAAGGGCAUGAGGAGACGUAACACAUUGGUGAUGAGGGGCAUGUUCAUAAUGAUGUAAAUGAGUAGCCUUGUGAAGAGGAUGCACAUAACGAUGAUGGUGAUGAGGAUGAGCAGAACCAUGAGUCUGAAACAUCUGAUGUGGUAAAACAAAAUAGUGAAACAACAAAUUGUACCAAAAUGGAGGAAUGCGUGCCUGUUUCUCACAAGCUGAACACGAACGAGGAAAACGUAUCACAUGAAAGUAUUUCAGAGACACAUGUUGAGGAACAAGAUUUCAACUCUCAACCUGUUGAGGAGCAAGUUGCUAACUCUCAACCUAUUCUAAGCAGAGUGGCACAGGAAGAUCUUGAGGUUGUAUAGAAAAUGUUGGA
rnacentral:lncRNA from 1 species